rnacentral:rRNA from 1 species
AGAGUUUGAUCAUGGCUCAGAUUGAACGCUGGCGGCAGGCCUAACACAUGCAAGUCGAGCGGUAGCACAGAGAGCUUGCUCUCGGGUGACGAGCGGCGGACGGGUGAGUAAUGUCUGGGAAACUGCCUGAUGGAGGGGGAUAACUACUGGAAACGGUAGCUAAUACCGCAUAACGUCGCAAGACCAAAGUGGGGGACCUUCGGGCCUCAUGCCAUCAGAUGUGCCCAGAUGGGAUUAGCUAGUAGGUGGGGUAACGGCUCACCUAGGCGACGAUCCCUAGCUGGUCUGAGAGGAUGACCAGCCACACUGGAACUGAGACACGGUCCAGACUCCUACGGGAGGCAGCAGUGGGGAAUAUUGCACAAUGGGCGCAAGCCUGAUGCAGCCAUGCCGCGUGUGUGAAGAAGGCCUUCGGGUUGUAAAGCACUUUCAGCGGGGAGGAAGGCGUUAAGGUUAAUAACCUCAUCGAUUGACGUUACCCGCAGAAGAAGCACCGGCUAACUCCGUGCCAGCAGCCGCGGUAAUACGGAGGGUGCAAGCGUUAAUCGGAAUUACUGGGCGUAAAGCGCACGCAGGCGGUCUGUCAAGUCGGAUGUGAAAUCCCCGGGCUCAACCUGGGAACUGCAUUCGAAACUGGCAGGCUAGAGUCUUGUAGAGGGGGGUAGAAUUCCAGGUGUAGCGGUGAAAUGCGUAGAGAUCUGGAGGAAUACCGGUGGCGAAGGCGGCCCCCUGGACAAAGACUGACGCUCAGGUGCGAAAGCGUGGGGAGCAAACAGGAUUAGAUACCCUGGUAGUCCACGCCGUAAACGAUGUCGAUUUGGAGGUUGUGCCCUUGAGGCGUGGCUUCCGGAGCUAACGCGUUAAAUCGACCGCCUGGGGAGUACGGCCGCAAGGUUAAAACUCAAAUGAAUUGACGGGGGCCCGCACAAGCGGUGGAGCAUGUGGUUUAAUUCGAUGCAACGCGAAGAACCUUACCUGGUCUUGACAUCCACAGAACUUUCCAGAGAUGGAUUGGUGCCUUCGGGAACUGUGAGACAGGUGCUGCAUGGCUGUCGUCAGCUCGUGUUGUGAAAUGUUGGGUUAAGUCCCGCAACGAGCGCAACCCUUAUCCUUUGUUGCCAGCGGUCCGGCCGGGAACUCAAAGGAGACUGCCAGUGAUAAACUGGAGGAAGGUGGGGAUGACGUCAAGUCAUCAUGGCCCUUACGACCAGGGCUACACACGUGCUACAAUGGCAUAUACAAAGAGAAGCGACCUCGCGAGAGCA